AUUGAACGCUGGCGGCAUGCCUUACACAUGCAAGUCGAACGGUAACAGGUCUUUCGGGAUGCUGACGAGUGGCGAACGGGUGAGUAAUACAUCGGAACGUGCCUAGUAGUGGGGGAUAACUACUCGAAAGAGUGGCUAAUACCGCAUGAGAUCUAUGGAUGAAAGCAGGGGACCUUCGGGCCUUGUGCUACUAGAGCGGCCGAUGGCAGAUUAGGUAGUUGGUGGGAUAAAAGCUUACCAAGCCUACGAUCUGUAGCUGGUCUGAGAGGACGAUCAGCCACACUGGGACUGAGACACGGCCCAGACUCCUACGGGAGGCAGCAGUGGGGAAUUUUGGACAAUGGGCGCAAGCCUGAUCCAGCAAUGCCGCGUGCAGGAUGAAGGCCUUCGGUUGUAAACUGCUUUGUACGGAACGAAAGUACUUGGUUAAUACCCUGGGAUCAUGACGGUACCGUAAGAAUAAGCACCGGCUAACUACGUGCCAGCAGCCG
rnacentral:rRNA from 1 species